AGAAGAAACUGCAAAUUUGAGCAUAAAGUUAAAAGUGUAAAAAAUAUAAUUAAUUAAUGCCAAAUUAAGUGUGUGCUGUAGUGAAGUUAAGUGUAGUGAUUAUUUUACAAAACGUUUAAGCAAUGAAGAAGUGCUAGCGUUGUUGUUCAAUUCCCACAAAAGCCGUUUGUACGUUACUAAAAUUUACCCGGAUAUUAUCCGGCAAAGGUGCACUUUCGGAGAUAUGUAUAACCUCGUUUAGAUCGAGUAUCCAGUUCAGAGCUGCUCACUGUUUUUAGUUGGCAGUUAUAUUUACUGUGCUGCAAAACAAACACAGAAUAAAAACAACACAACAAAAGUAUUCGCAACGCAUUUCUACAUCUUAUGUACUCUUCUUUCUCUGCCACCGAAACACAUAAUUGCAGAAACAUGAAUGGUUUGUUGUUGGAAACGGUAGCAAACAUUAAGCAGUGGGGUGAGAGACUGCGUGUUGUUGUGCUAAUACACUAAUUAAGAGAUCAAAAGAAUUGAUGAGUGGCUGUGAGAGACAGCGUGAGUAUGUUGGAAUGUGUUACCGUUUGGUUUUCAUACUCAUUGCAUGUAUUGGAAUUUGGUAAACAGUUGCUGUUUUUACCAAAGUGUAGAACAAUUGCGAUUUGACUAUGAAUUGUUAAUAAUUUAUUAAUAAAAUGUGUUUAAAAGUGUUUUAAAAUGUUAAAAGAAGUGUACAAAGUGCGGGCAAGUGAAAAGUAUAGUGCAGUGAAAAAGUGUGUUAAAGCACUUAAAAGAGUUUGUGUGCGAAAGUUAAUUGGCAUGCAAAUUGUUUGUGCAGUCGGUACGUGUUCGUUUCAUGCGUACAUGCAACGACAUGACGCAGCAGGCAAAUACUUAUGUAUGUAAAUAAAAAUGAAAUAAAUUUAAAUAUUAUAUGCAGAACUUAAUAGAAGUCAAAAGAGAUAUGAAAAUAAAAUGUGAUAAACAUCGAAAAUUAAUACA